UACGAAGGGGGCUAGCGUUGUUCGGAAUUACUGGGCGUAAAGCGCACGUAGGCGGGUCUGUAAGUAGAGGGUGAAAUCCCAGGGCUCAACCCUGGAACUGCCUUCUAGACUGCAGGCCUCGAGGUCAGGAGAGGCGAGUGGAAUACCGAGUGUAGAGGUGAAAAUUCGUAGAUAUUCGGAGGAACACCAGUGGCGAAGGCGGCUCACUGGCUCGGUACUGACGCUGAGGUGCGAAAGCGUGGGGAGCAAACAGG
rnacentral:rRNA from 1 species